rnacentral:tRNA from 1 species
GGGGGUAUAGCUCAGUUGGGAGAGCGCGACGCUGGCAGCGUUGAGGUCAGGGGUUCGAGUCCCCUUACCUCCA